UAGGCUAGAAUGCGCGUGACCGCUCCAGAGAUGGAGCUUUCCUUCGGGACACAAAGCAAGGUGCUGCAUGGCCGUCGUCAGCUCGUGCCGUGAGGUGUUGGGUUAAGUCCCGCAACGAGCGCAACCCCUAUCUUUAGUUGCCAGCACAUUAUGGUGGGGACUCUAAAGAGACUGCCUGCGCAAGCAGUGAGGAAGGUGGGGAUGACGUCAGGUCAUCAUGGCCCUUACGCCUAGGGCUACACACGUGCUACAAUGGGCGGUACAGAGGGUUGCUACCUGGUGACAGGAUGCCAAUCUCAAAAAGCCGCUCUCAGUUCGGAUCGAAGUCUGCAACUCGACUUCGUGAAGCUGGAAUCGCUAGUAAUCGCGUAUCAGCAAUGACGCGGUGAAUACGUUCCCGGGCC
rnacentral:rRNA from 1 species